rnacentral:rRNA from 1 species
AUUGAACGCUGGCGGCAGGCCUAACACAUGCAAGUCGAACGAGUGGCGGACGGGUGAGUAAUGUCUGGGAAACUGCCCGAUGGAGGGGGAUAACUACUGGAAACGGUAGCUAAUACCGCAUACCAACGGGGGUGGCCAGAGGGGAUUAGCUAGUAGGUGGGGUAACGGCGCACCGAGGCGACGAUCCCUAGCUGGUCUGAGAGGAUGACCAGCCACACUGGAACUGAGACACGGUCCAGACUCCUACGGGAGGCAGCAGUGGGGAAUAUUGCACAAGGGGCGCAAGCCUGAUGCAGCCAUUCCGCGUGUAUGAAGAAGGCCUUCGGGUUGUAAAGUACUUUCAGCGAGUAGGCGUUACUCGCAGAAGAAGCACCGGCUAACUCCGUGCCAGCAGCCGCGGUAAUAC